CUAGCGACUUCAGAGUUUGAUCCUGGCUCAGGAUUAACGCUGGCGGCGUGCAUAACACAUUCAAGUCGAACGGAGUAAGGUGCUUCGGUAUCUUACUCAGUGGCGGACGGGUGAGUAACGCGUGAGCAAUCUACCUUCAGGUGAGGAAUAACACCGGAAACAGUUGCUAAUACCUCAUGACAUAAGAGAGUCGCAUGGCUUUCUUAUCAAAGGCUUGCUGCCUGAAGAUGAGCUUGCGUCCGAUUAGAUAGUUGGCGGGGUAACGGCCCACCAAGCCGACGAUCGGUAGCCGGACUGAGAGGUUGAACGGCCACAUUGGAACUGAGAUACGGUCCAG
rnacentral:rRNA from 1 species